UGGGGAAUUUUGGACAAUGGGCGAAAGCCUGAUCCAGCAAUGCCGCGUGUGUGAAGAAGGCCUUCGGGUUGUAAAGCACUUUUGUCCGGAAAGAAAUGGCUCUGGUUAAUACCUGGGGUCGAUGACGGUACCGGAAGAAUAAGGACCGGCUAACUACGUGCCAGCAGCCGCGGUAAUACGUAGGGUCCAAGCGUUAAUCGGAAUUACUGGGCGUAAAGCGUGCGCAGGCGGUUGUGCAAGACCGAUGUGAAAUCCCCGAGCUUAACUUGGGAAUUGCAUUGGUGACUGCACGGCUAGAGUGUGUCAGAGGGGGGUAGAAUUCCACGUGUAGCAGUGAAAUGCGUAGAGAUGUGGAGGAAUACCGAUGGCGAAGGCAGCCCCCAUGGGAUAACACUGACGCUCAUGCACGAAAGCGUGGGGAGCAAACAGGAUUAGAUACCCUGGUAGUCCACGCCCUAAACGAUGUCAACUAGUUGUUGGGGGAUUCAUUUUCCUUAGUAACGUAGCUAACGCGUGAAGUUGACCGCCUGGGGAGUACGGUCGCAAGA
rnacentral:rRNA from 1 species